UUUCCAAAACAUCGCUCCUUGUGUGUAGUAAAUGGGGAGUAGGACCUGCCCAGUGAGUUUUUAACGGCCGCGGUACUCUGACCGUGCAAAGGUAGCAUAAUAAUUUGCCUUAUAAUUGAAGGCUGGUAUGAAUGGUUUGACGAGAAUAAAGCUGUCUCUCUAUAAUUUACUAGAAAUUUAUUUGCGGAUGAAAAAGUCCGUAUAUUAUUAAAAGACAAGAAGACCCUAUCGAGCUUAAAAAAAUUUAGUAGGACAAUAAUUAAUUGAUACUAAAAAAUUACCUACUAAAGAUUUUAGUUGGGGCGACCGAGGAACAAACGAAGCUUCCUUAAUAAAUUGUAUUUACUUAUUAGUCUUGAUCCAGAAAUUUUUGAUUAAUAGAAUUAGUUACCGUAGGGAUAACAGCAUUAUCUUUUUUGAGAGCUCUUAUCGAAAAAAAGGUUUGUGACCUCGAUGUUGGACCAGAAUGUCCUAAAGAUGCAGCAGUCUUUGAGGGUUGGUCUGUUCGACCAUUAAUAUUCUACGUGAUCUAGUUU
rnacentral:rRNA from 1 species